rnacentral:rRNA from 1 species
GACGAACGCUGGCGGCGUGCUUAACACAUGCAAGUCGAACGGAAAGGCCCUGCUUUUGUGGUGUGCUCGAGUGGCGAACGGGUGAGUAACACGUGAGUAACCUGCUCUUGACUUUGGGAUAACUUCAGGAAACUGGGGCUAAUACCGGAUAGGAGCUCCUGCUGCAUGGUGGGGGUUGGAAAGUUUCGGCGGUUGGGGAUGGACUCGCGGCUUAUCAGCUUGUUGGUGGGGUAGUGGCUUACCAAGGCUUUGACGGGUAGCCGGCCUGUGAGGGUGACCGGCCACAUUGGGACUGAGAUACGGACCAGACUCCUACGGGAGGCAGCAGUGGGGAAUAUUGCACAAUGGGCGGAAGCCUGAUGCAGCAACGCCGCGUGCGGGAUGACGGCCUUCGGGUUGUAAACCGCUUUCGCCUGUGACGAAGCGUGAGUGACGGUAAUGGGUAAAGAAGCACCGGCUAACUACGUG